UACGUAGGGUGCGAGCGUUGUCCGGAAUUAUUGGGCGUAAAGGGCUCGUAGGCGGUCUGUCGCGUCGGGGAGUGAAAACUCAGGGCUUAACCCUGAGCCUGCUUCCGAUACGGGCAGACUAGAGGUAUGCAGGGGAGAACGGAAUUCCUGGUGUAGCGGUGGAAUGCGCAGAUAUCAGGAGGAACACCGGUGGCGAAGGCGGUUCUCUGGGCAUUACCUGACGCUGAGGAGCGAAAGUGUGGGGAGCGAACAGG
rnacentral:rRNA from 1 species